rnacentral:rRNA from 1 species
GAUGGACGCUGACAGAAUGCUUAACACAUGCAAGUCGACUUGAAUUUGGGUUUUUAACUUAGGUUUGGGUGGCGGACGGGUGAGUAACGCGUAAAGAACUUGCCUCACAGCUAGGGACAACAUUUGGAAACGAAUGCUAAUACCUAAUAUUAUGAUAAUAGGGCAUCCUAUAAUUAUGAAAGCUAUAAGCGCUGUGAGAGAGCUUUGCGUCCCAUUAGCUAGUUGGAGAGGUAACGGCUCACCAAGGCGAUGAUGGGUAGCCGGCCUGAGAGGGUGAUCGGCCACAAGGGGACUGAGACACGGCCCUUACUCCUACGGGAGGCAGCAGUGGGGAAUAUUGGACAAUGGACCGAGAGUCUGAUCCAGCAAUUCUGUGUGCACGAUGAAGUUUUUCGGAAUGUAAAGUGCUUUCAGUUGGGAAGAAACAAAUGACGGUACCAACAGAAGAAGUGACGGCUAAAUACGUG